rnacentral:rRNA from 1 species
UACGUAGGGUGCGAGCGUUAAUCGGAAUUACUGGGCGUAAAGCGUGCGCAGGCGGUUCGUUAAGUCAGAUGUGAAAGCCCCGGGCUCAACCUGGGAACUGCAUUUGAAACUGGCGGGCUUGAGUGUGGCAGAGGGGGGUGGAAUUCCACGUGUAGCAGUGAAAUGCGUAGAGAUGUGGAGGAACACCGAUGGCGAAGGCAGCCUCCUGGGCCAGUACUGACGCUGAGGCGCGAAAGCGUGGGGAGCAAACAGG